AUAGAAACAAUUUCUUUUUCCCUUUGCUCUGGAGGUUCCUAGCCCUCAAGGUUAGACUUGUUUUCCUUCCUUCUUCUUUGUUCCUAACACCCAGCCUUGUGUAGAAUCGACCUUAGAUCAUAUGGUAUUACGAGCUUGGUUGUGGUUAAAGGCGAAUGAGUUAUAAAAGUAAUCUUUUCUCUAUAUCAAUGGCAACAAUAACUUGUCCUAUGUUUAAAAGUUGUUUUUUACUUAGUUGAAACAGGUUGCAUCUAGUUAGAGAUGAUUUUGUAUUGUAAACAAAUAGAUAUAUAUAGUUCAUUACAUGGGAAGGGAGACUCACAUUGUCGGUUGGCAUGUUAAGGGCUUGUAUGUGUAAUUACUUCAUGUUUUUUACUUUGUUCUAGACAGGUGAAUGCCUCACAACUUGUGAUUCAUCAUUUGAUCCUUAUUUAUCUAUAUAAUAUAUUCUUUGUCUUCCAAAAAAAAAAAAUCAUAAGAGAUUAAGGAAUGAGGAAUUAUGAACUCCUAGGUUACAAUUUGUGUGUGUUUUGGACAUCUUU
rnacentral:lncRNA from 1 species